CUGAAGAGUUUGAUCAUGGCUCAGAUUGAACGCUGGCGGCAGGCCUAACCAUGCAAGUCGAGCGGUAGAGAGAAGCUUGCUUCUCUUGAGAGCGGCGGACGGGUGAGUAAUGCCUAGGAAUCUGCCUGGUAGUGGGGGAUAACGUUCGGAAACGGACGCUAAUACCGCAUACGUCCUACGGGAGAAAGCAGGGGACCUUCGGGCCUUGCGCUAUCAGAUGAGCCUAGGUCGGAUUAGCUAGUUGGUGGGGUAAUGGCUCACCAAGGCGACGAUCCGUAACUGGUCUGAGAGGAUGAUCAGUCACACUGGAACUGAGACACGGUCCAGACUCCUACGGGAGGCAGCAGUGGGGAAUAUUGGACAAUGGGCGAAAGCCUGAUCCAGCCAUGCCGCGUGUGUGAAGAAGGUCUUCGGAUUGUAAAGCACUUUAAGUUGGGAGGAAGGGUUGUAGAUUAAUACUCUGCAAUUUUGACGUUACCGACAGAAUAAGCACCGGCUAACUCUGUGCCAGCAGCCGCGGUAAUACAGAGGGUGCAAGCGUUAAUCGGAAUUACUGGGCGUAAAGCGCGCGUAGGUGGUUUGUUAAGUUGGAUGUGAAAUCCCCGGGCUCAACCUGGGAACUGCAUUCAAAACUGACUGACUAGAGUAUGGUAGAGGGUGGUGGAAUUUCCUGUGUAGCGGUGAAAUGCGUAGAUAUAUGAAGGAACACCAGUGGCGAAGGCGACCACCUGGACUAGUACUCACACCGAGGUGCGACAGCUUGGGGAGCAAACAAGACUAGAUACCCCGCUAGUCCACGCCGUACACUAUGAUAACUAGCCGCUGGAGGCCAUGACCUGUUAUUUGCGCGCCCACCAAUAAAUUCACUCCCCGGGUUGAAAAGCCCCCUGCUAGGUUCACCUGAGUUUUUGCGGCCUGGCUAGCAAAAGAUGAGGAGGUUUUGUCUAAACUAAAAACCAAAAAUAACCUGUCCCCCCCUUCUACCCCAUGCAGACUUCUAGAGAUAGAUUGGUGCCUUCGGGAACAUUGAGACAGGUGCUGCAUGGCUGUCGUCAGCUCGUGUCGUGAGAUGUUGGGUUAAGUCCCGUAACGAGCGCAACCCUUGUCCUUAGUUACCAGCACGUAAUGGUGGGCACUCUAAGGAGACUGCCGGUGACAAACCGGAGGAAGGUGGGGAUGACGUCAAGUCAUCAUGGCCCUUACGGCCUGGGCUACACACGUGCUACAAUGGUCGGUACAGAGGGUUGCCAAGCCGCGAGGUGGAGCUAAUCCCAUAAAACCGAUCGUAG
rnacentral:rRNA from 1 species